GCAGCUGAAUAGAUGGUGGAUUGGGGACACACAGAUACAAAAUAGAUUUCAAGGGCUUAUAGGCUGUGUAUAGACUUCUCUUGAUCUAGGCAGAGCACAGAGUAAACUCAUGAGAACCAGCAUUGUAGAGAAUAUGGUACCCACUUGAGAACCAUGUGGAAGCUGAAGCAGAAACCUCCUCUCUUCCUCUCUAGCCUUCAUUUCCCUUCCUCAACAACAACAUCAGAGCUAAAUAAUAAUAAUAAUAAUAAUAAUAAUAAUAAUAAUAAUAUGCUGGCGAGUUUACUGCUUGGAGCAAUUGGCACAUGAAGUAGCGUGUGGGGUACGUUUUGUGAUAAAACAGCAAUUGCGACUGGAAUAACUCAGUGUCCUUGUUUUCUACCAAGUGAAUUGAUCUAAACUGGUCACAGUCCAUCCAGAAUAAAGCAUAUUGUUAUUGCUUUUAUUUUAAUGGAGGAUUGAUCAUGCUCUCCCAUUGAAGUCAAAGAGACUUCAGCACACUUAACAACUUGCCUGUGUCACAACCCAAAUUUUAAAAUGAAAAUGGAAUUCCAAGCUGUAUCUCUGCAUGCUCCUCAUACACUUCAGAUGACACUCAAAAUGUGUGUUUUUAAAGGCAAAAUUAGCCAAAAUGGACAAAGUGCCCAACCUAAAGUUACUUAUACCAAAGUCCAUCAAGACAAACAGGCUGGCUUAAAUCUAUGCUUGGCUUCUUUUUUGCACCAAGGUGAGACUUUUUCACAGGGCUCCUGGGAUAAUCAAACACAACAUUCAGUUUCCAUUUCUUGGGUUGUCAGUGUGCUUUGGAUGGCUAAAAGGAAGCUGAAAUGGUCCUUUUUUUAAACCCAGAGAGUUUGAGAGAAUUUUUAAUCUUCAUCCAUCCAUCCUUCAUUUGCAUGGAUGUGCUUAUUUCUGGCAUUUCCCUUCCCAUGCAUUUUGUGUGAGUCAACACUCAUUGGUAUGCAGUAGAAGAUUAACCAGUAGAUGAAGUAUGCUAAAGUAAGGUUCCCAGUAAACUGUUGGUAACCUUCUCAUCCCUUCAUAUCUGAGAGCGUCCCUGCAUGCAACCACCUGCGGCUCCUCUGCUGUCUCAGAAAGAUUAGCAAGAUAGAUGUGGAAGGAAAGGGGUCCUCCUGGGAGAAACAGCAGAUCUCGCUUCAUAAAAGGAAGAAUGAGGAAAGCAUCCUGUCCAGGAUGACCAAGUGUCAUAACUGCAAAGGAGGUCGAGACAUCACAAAAUGUA